AUGGCUCCAGCUUCCACCUCCCUCCUCCCCGCCGCCAGCUCCAACGCCGGCACCAAGCGCCCGUUCGCCGCGGAAGAUUCCGACGCUACUGAGCUUCCACGGGCACUCCCGCAGGUCCAGGAGAGCGCGCCGGGCAAGAAGAACGGCAGCGGCCAGAGCCAGCAGCAGCAGCAGCAGCAGAAGCUGGAGUGCCCGCGGUGCAGCUCCACCGACACCAAGUUCUGCUACUACAACAACUACAGCACCACGCAGCCGCGCCACUACUGCCGCACCUGCCGCCGCUACUGGACGCAAGGCGGCACGCUGCGCAACGUCCCCGUCGGCGGGGCAUGCCGCCGCCGCGGCAGCAGUAAGCGCUCCGCCGAGCCCCAGACGACCUCCUCUGACUCGCCGCAGCCGGAACUGCACGAGACGCGCCCUCUUUCCAACCACCCGCUCCCAGUCUUCCCGUUCCUCACCGAAGGCGGCCCUGUCUUCCUGCCGCAGUUCGAUCUCGGGCUCGGCGGGUUCCCCUGGACACCGGCGACCACGGACCACCUCUACAACGGGCUCGCGGCCCCGUGGGGUGGCUGCGACCAGGCGCUCGCCUCCACCGGCGCGUGGGACGACUUCGGCGGCCUCGAGCUCGCCUGGCCACCACCGCCACCGGCCGGGAACUGA
rnacentral:rRNA from 1 species